rnacentral:tRNA from 1 species
GCGGAAGUAGCUCAGGUGGUAGAGCGUCUCCUUGCCAAGGAGAAGGUCGCGGGUUCAAGUCCCGUCUUCCGCU